UUUAGCUGCUGGGGGAGCCGUUUGGCUGAGAAAUCGAUGAUUAAACCCUUUGCACCUGAUCUGGUUUAUACCAGCGUAGGGAAGCAGGCUGAGACGAGG
rnacentral:ncRNA from 1 species